rnacentral:rRNA from 1 species
GAUGAACGCUGGCGGCGUGCCUAAUACAUGCAAGUCGAGCGAACAGACGUGGAGCUUGCUCCUCUGACGUUAGCGGCGGACGGGUGAGUAACACGUGGAUAACCUACCUAUAAGACUGGGAUAACUUCGGGAAACCGGAGCUAAUACCGGAUAAUAUAUUGAACCGCAUGGUUCAACAGUGAAAGACGGUUUUGCUGUCACUUAUAGAUGGAUCCGCGCCGCAUUAGCUAGUUGGUAAGGUAACAGCUUACCAAGGCAACGAUGCGUAGCCGACCUGAGAGGGUGAUCGGCCACACUGGAACUGAGACACGGUCCAGACUCCUACGGGAGGCAGCAGUAGGGAAUCUUCCGCAAUGGGCGAAAGCCUGACGGAGCAACGCCGCGUGAGUGAUGAAGGUCUUCGGAUCGUAAAACUCUGUUAUUAGGGAAGAACAAAUGUGUAAGUAACUAUGCACGUCUUGACGGUACCUAAUCAGAAAGCCACGGCUAACUACGUG